ACGGGGAAACUCACCAGGUCCAGACACAUUAAGGAUUGACAGAUUGAGAGCUCUUUCUUGAUUAUGUGGGUGGUGGUGCAUGGCCGUUCUUAGUUGGUGGAGUGAUUUGUCUGCUUAAUUGCGAUAACGAACGAGACCUUAACCUGCUAAAUAGCCAGGCUAGCUUUUGCUGGUCGCCGGCUUCUUAGAGGGACUAUCGGCUCAAGCCGAUGGAAGUUUGAGGCAAUAACAGGUCUGUGAUGCCCUUAGAUGUUCUGGGCCGCACGCGCGCUACACUGACAGAGCCAACGAGUAUAAACCUUAACCGAGAGGUUUGGGUAAUCUUGUUAAACUCUGUCGUGCUGGGGAUAGGGCAUUGCAAUUAUUGCCCUUCAACGAGGAAUAUCUAGUAAGCGCAAGUCAUCAGCUUGCGUUGAUUACGUCCCUGCCCUUUGUACACACCGCCCGUCGCUACUACCGAUUGAAUGGCUCAGUGAGGCCUUCGGACUGGCUCCAGGAGG
rnacentral:rRNA from 1 species